GGACUUCCCCUUCGGGGGCAGAGUGACAGGUGGUGCAUGGUUGUCGUCAGCUGGGUCGAGAGAUGUUGGGUUAAGUCCCGCAACGAGCGCAACCCUUGAUCUUAGUUGCCAGCAUUCAGUUGGGCACUCUAAGGUGACUGCCGGUGACAAACCGGAGGAAGGUGGGGAUGACGUCAAAUCAUCAUGCCCCUUAUGACCUGGGCUACACACGUGCUACAAUGGACAGAACAAAGGGCAGCGAAACCGCGAGGUUAAGCCAAUCCCACAAAUCUGUUCUCAGUUCGGAUCGCAGUCUGCAACUCGACUGCGUGAAGCUGGAAUCGCUAGUAAUCGCGGAUCAGCAUGCCGCGGUGAAUACGUUCCCGGGUCUUGUACACACCGA
rnacentral:rRNA from 1 species